GAUUAACGCUGGCGGCGUGCAUGAAACAUGCAAGUCGAGCGCGGCACCUUCGGGUGUCUAGCGGCGCACGGGUGAGUAACACGUGAGCAACCCACCUUCGAGUCUGGGAUAGCCCUGAGAAAUCAGGAUUAAUACCGGAUGGCGUCAUCGCGAGGCAUCCCGCGAUGAACAAAGGCGCAAGCCGCUCGAUGACGGGCUCGCGGCCUAUUAGCUUGUUGGUGGGGUAACGGCCUACCAAGGCGCAGAUGGGUAGCUGGUCUGAGAGGACGAUCAGCCA
rnacentral:rRNA from 1 species